rnacentral:rRNA from 1 species
AGUGAACGCUGGCGGUAGGCCUAACACAUGCAAGUCGAACGGCAGCACAGUAAGAGCUUGCUCUUACGGGUGGCGAGUGGCGGACGGGUGAGGAAUACUUCGGAAUCUACUUUUUCGUGGGGUAUAACGUAGGGAAACUUACGCUAAUACCGCAUACGACCUACGGGUGAAAGCAGGGGAUCUUCGGACCUUGCGCGAUUGAAUGAGCCGAUGUCGGAUUAGCUAGUUGGCGGGGUAAAGGCCCACCAAGGCGACGAUCCGUAGCUGGUCUGAGAGGAUGAUCAGCCACACUGGAACUGAGACACGGUCCAGACUCCUACGGGAGGCAGCAGUGGGGAAUAUUGGACAAUGGGCGCAAGCCUGAUCCAGCCAUACCGCGUGGGUGAAGAAGGCCUUCGGGUUGUAAAGCCCUUUUGUUGGGAAAGAAAAGCAGCAGGUUAAUACCCCGCUGUUCUGACGGUACCCAAAGAAUAAGCACCGGCUAACUUCGUG